CGAUUAGAUGGAAGUGAUGAAGUAUAGCUUGUAUUUUGGACACUUAAGCUAUAUUGAGCUAGUAGUGUAACCGGCCUCGUAGUAU
rnacentral:ncRNA from 2 species